GUUCCUUGUUUUAGCUGACGACACUCGAGAGCGCCAAUUUUCCUAGAUUCGAUUUUGUGGUUUGGAACUGUGGUUUUGGAAUCCAGAGUAGUCGCCUCGUUCUAGUAUCCAAUUGCUCCAGCACCAACUGGUGAAAAGACCAUCAUUCUUCUACUCAGUUGCAUUUGAAGCUUUGUCAAAAACCAGACACAAUUGGAGACACAGGUUCUUCUAUCAAGGCCUUGACUGGAAUGGCAUAUUUUCAGAUAUGACCACAUUGCUUUGAGGAAAUGAGGCUGAUGUUGCAGAGCUGAUAAAACCCCCACAGAAAGGCCAGCCUACCUCUGGUGUUGGCCAGAUUGAGAAAUAAAGGGAAAGAGUACGAAAGAGAGAAAUUUUAAAGCUGGGUGUCCGGGGGAGACAUCAUAUGUCAGCAGGUUCCGUGAUGCCCCUCAAGCCACAAAACCAGCAAGUUUUUAUUAGUGAUUUUCAAAGGGGAGGGAGUGUAUGGGUCACAGAGAUCACAUGCUUCACAAGGCAAUAAAAUAUCACAAGGCAAAUGGGGGCAGAGCGAGAUCACAGGACCAGGGCAAAAUUAAAAUUGCUAAUGAAGUUUUGAGCACGCAUUGUCAUU
rnacentral:lncRNA from 1 species